AGAGUUUGAUCAUGGCUCAGAACAAACGCUGGCGGCGUGUCUUAAGCAUGCAAGUCGAGCGGCAAGGCGGGGCGACCCGCCCUAGAGCGGCGGACUGGUGAGUAACGCGUGGGUAAUCUACCUUGGGCAUGGGGAUAGCCAUUAGAAAUAGUGGGUAAUACCGAAUACGCUCGCGGGGGGAAGGGUCCUGUGAGGAAAGGGUGCUACGGCACCGGCCUGAGAUGAGCUCGCGUCCCAUUAGCUAGUUGGUGAGGUAAGGGCCCACCAAGGCGAUGAUGGGUAGCCGGCCUGAGAGGGUGUACGGCCACACUGGGACUGAGAUACGGCCCAGACUCCUACGGGAGGCAGCAGCUAAGAAUAUUCCGCGAUGGACGAAAGUCUGACGGAGCGACGCCGCGUGGAUGAAGAAGGCCGAAAGGUUGUAAAGUUCUUUUGCGAGGGAAGAAUAACCGCAGGAGGGAAUGCCUGUGGGAUGACAUGAACUUGCGAAUAAGCCCCGGCCAACUACGUGCCAGCAGCCGCGGUAACACGUAGGGGGCGAGCGUUGUUCGGAAUUACUGGGCGUAAAGGGCAUGUAGGCGGUCUGGUAAGCCUGGCGUGAAAGACCACAGCUUAACUGUGGGGUUGCGUUGGGAACUGCUGGGCUUGAGUGACGGAGAGGGAGCUGGAAUUCCUGGUGUAGGGGUGAAAUCUGUAGAUAUCAGGAAGAACACCGAUGGCGAAGGCAAGCUCCUGGCCGAUGACUGACGCUGAGGUGCGAAAGUGUGGGGAUCAAACAGGAUUAGAUACCCUGGUAGUCCACACGGUAAACGAUGUGCACUAGGUGCUGGGGCGGUAGCCUCGGUGCCGGAGCGAACGUGUUAAGUGCACCGCCUGGGGAGUAUGCUCGCAAGGGUGAAACUCAAAUGAAUUGACGG
rnacentral:rRNA from 1 species